UCGGGAAUCUUGGUCAAUGGGGGAAACCCUGAACCAGCAACUCCGCGUGAGGGAUGAAGGCCUUCGGGUCGUAAACCUCUGUCAGAAGGGAAGAAAAUGGUCGUUUCAAAUAGGUUCGAUCACUGACGGUACCUUCAAAGGAAGUGCCGGCUAACUCCGUGCCAGCAGCCGCGGUAAUACGGAGGGCACAAGCGUUGUUCGGAAUUAUUGGGCGUAAAGCGGGUGUAGGCGGCUUUGCAAGUCGGAUGUGAAAUCCCUGGGCCCAACCCAGGAACUGCAUUCGAUACUGCAUCGCUAGAGUCCCGGAGAGGAUGGCGGAAUUCCAGGUGUAGAGGUGAAAUUCGUAGAUAUCUGGAGGAACACCAGUGGCGAAGGCGGCCAUCUGGACGGUGACUGACGCUCAGACCCGAAAGCGUGGGGAGCAAACAGG
rnacentral:rRNA from 1 species